CAGUUACUCCCUCCGUCCGAAAAUACUUGUCUUCAAACUGAAUAAAAGGGGGUGUAUCUAGAUGCAUUUUUGUUCUAGAUACAUUUUUUUUAUCAAUUUUGAUGACAAGUAUUUUCGGACGGAGAGAGUACUUU
rfam:Triticum aestivum genome assembly, contig: Triticum_aestivum_CS42_TGACv1_scaffold_330635_4BS